rnacentral:lncRNA from 1 species
UCCUGGGGCUUCUGCCAAGGAACAUUGGAAGGUGGGCAUUUAUCUCUCCCAAGUCUCCCAGGGCACUCACCCCAACCUACACCACCCCAGUACAUGAAAACCCACUGCUGCCCCACCCAUCAUCUGCACACAGGCCAGGCCAGAGGCAUGAGGAUUACAAGUCCAAGACUCAAAAUAUAUGCUUCUGGGUCCAGAGUCCUGCCUCUGGAAAAAAAAGGGCAAAGAACCCUGAAAAAGGGCAGUAUCUCUGAGCACUUCCUCAUCAGCCAGUCUGGAAAUGCCCAUUAGAUGUUGAAGGCACUUCCGUGUCCCCUGCCUGAGGUGAGGCAAUUGCGACCUGAGAGGCAAAGGCAACCGGGGACCAACCUCAACUUUCUGGGCACGUCCUUGGUCUGUCACCAGCCCUGUUUCAACACAGUCUCUAAGCCUGGAGCUGCAACCAGGGAACAGCAGGUGGGCUCUGCUGGGGCUCUGGCGCCAUCUGGUGGCGAUUAGCUCUAACAGCAACUCUCAGCCCUUCCUCUUGCCUCCCUCAGCAGAACACUGCGCUGCACUGGCCUUGGGCACCUGCCAGGUUGAUUCUUCUUCCACUCCCUCUGAGCACCAUGAACUGCCUUACACAGACGGGUGGGCCUCUCUUAAACUCCCCCUGAGCACUCACCCCAGCCUACCCCAUCCCACUAUCUUUUUUUGUUUUUUGUUUUUUUGCCUUUUUGCCUUUUCUAGGGCUGCUCCUGCAGCAUAUGGAGAUUCCCAGGCCAGGGGUCUAAUCAGAGCUGUAGCCACCGGCCUUCGCCAGAGCCACAGCAACGCAGGAUCCAAGCAGUGUCUGCAACCUACACCACAGCUCACGGCAACGCCGGAUCGUUAACCCACUGAGCAAGGCCAGGGAUGGAACCUGCAACCUCAUGGUUCCUAGUCGGAUUCGUUAACCACUGUGCCACAACAGGAACUCCCCAUCCCACUAUCUUAUGUAACUCAGCCACCCUGCUUCUGAAGUCUCCUGAGCAACCUUUAACUCAGUCGGCACACCUUAGCCCUGUAACUAAACUUUCUUUCAAGAACUUCCACCAUUAUACAUUUUACCUGGCUUUAGGGAAGUCCUCUUAACAGAGGUCCAGCAGUGGAGGAAGAAGUUUAGAUGGAAAGGGAAGAAGGAAGUUGGGGAGAACUUCACAGAAAUGCACAGAAAUGAGCAAUGCCCGCCUUCCAAAAUACUACCGCUUUGACACACUAACUUCAAAGGACACCGGCCCAGUUUUGCAACAUGCCAACAUGCGGAAAAACCUAUACACUGAAAACUGCAAGCCCAAAGUCAGACGGAGUAUUUCAAGGUCCAGACUCCUACUUCUGGAGAAACAAAGGGCAAUGAGACAUCAGACAGCCUGUCAAAUUCUCUGGCAACUGGGCCACCUGACCAGGCUGGAAGUGCCCAGCAUGUGCUGAGGGGACACCUCUGUCCCCUCUGUGAGGUGAGGCAAUUUGGGCUGGAGCAACAAUCACACACUGUAACCAACCCCUCCUCUCCGGCAUGCCUGGGGUUUCUGCCCAACCCACAUCCAAUCCCAUCUCUGAACAUGGAGGCAGGGACAGGGAUCUGCAGGUGGGCUCUGUGGGUGCUAUGGCGCCCUCUGGUGGCCAUCAUCUCUAAUAAUGACUCCCACCCCAGUCCAGGGGGAUGCACUGGCCCUGGCACCUGCCAGCUUGAUUUUAUUCCUCUUUUCAGUCUGAGCAAGAUGAAGUGCAUUACAGAGAGGGGCAUUUCUCUUUCAAAUUCUCCUUGGACACUCACCCCCACUUGCACCACCCCAGUACAUGAAAACCCUCUGCUGCCAUGCCCAUUAUGUAUGAGAGUCUUCUUGAAAUCCAUCACUCUGCCUUCAUUCACAAGACCUGAUCAUGUCCCCACCACAGGGGUUGGGGACAGGAAAAAGGGGCUCAGAUGGAAAAGGAAGAAGGAAGUUUGGGGAGACCUCUUGAGAGAAAAGCACAAGGAUGACCACAACCACCCUGAACAUAUCACUACUUUUACAUGUUUCAUUCACAACCACCACCUCUUUUUCCAGAAGUCCAACCCCACACAAGCCAGAAGCUUGAAUACAGCAAGCCCAAUAUUCAAACAGAUGAUUCUGGUCCAGGGUCCUGCCUCUGGGGAAACAAAGGGCAAAGACCCCAGAAGACAUGUCAGCAUCCCUGAUCCCUGCACUGCUGGUCAGGCUGGAAAUGCCCAUCACAUGCUGAAGGGACAUCCGUGUCCCCUCCUUGAGGUGAGGCAAUCUGGGCAGGAGAGGCAGUGGCGCCUGUAACCAACCUCAACUUUCUGGGCACGUCUUUGGCCGUAGGUUUGAUUCCUGACUGAGAACUUCCAAGUGCUGUGGGUGUGGCCAAAAAAAAACAAAUUUUUUUGAAACGGGUAUAAGAUAUGAAAGGACACCUGGCUAAAGAAGAUAAACAGAUAAUAAGUGGACAAAAAUACGGUCAACAUCAUCUACCACUAGGGAAUCAUGAAGCAAAACAACAAGACAGCACUGCACACCAAUCAGAACUGAUUAACUUCCUCCCAAAUGACAACACUGGUGACUGGAGGAUGGGGACACAGGAUGCAGCAGGAGCGUUCUUUCACUGCUGAAAGAAAAAUAUCGGCCUGUUGAGAGAUAGUCUGGCAGUAUUUUCUGAAGCUCAACAAGUCUCACAUCUUGAGAUCCAUCCAUCAUGCCUCCAGUAUUCACACAAAUGCUUUGAAGCACUGGAGCCAAACAAAAGAAGAAAAUGCUAUUCUGCACAAUGUCUAAGCCUUAAAGGGAUCAGGAUGUCUUCAGGAGAUGAAUGCAUAAGCAAACUGGGGUGUGCCCAUAUGAAGGGGAGCAGAAUAGGACUCUCCAAAUUGUGCAGUUUUAAGAGAACUCUCAGAGAAAAACAAUUUUUAAAAAGAAAAUCACGGAGGAAGUUCCCAUUGUGGCUCAGGGGAAACGAAUCUGACUAGUAUCCAUGAGGACACAGGUUUGCUUCCUGGCCUCACUCAGUGCGUUAAGGAUUUGACAUUGCCGUGCGCUGUGGUAUAGGUUGCAGAUGUGGCUCAGAUCCAGCAUUGCUUUGGGUGUGAAGCUACAGCUCUGAUUCGACCCCUAGCCUGGGAACCUCCAUAUGCCGCAGGAGCAGCCCAAAGAAACAGCAAAAAGACAAAAAAAAAAAAAAAAAAAAAAAAAAAAAAAAAUGUGACUGCAGUGGCUCAGAUUUGGGAGGAGGUGAAGGUUCAGUCCCCAGCCUGGAGCAGUGGGUUAAGCAAUCCAGCAUUCUGGUGCAAGUCGCAGCUGUGGCGUGGGUUUGAUCUCUGGCUUGGGAACUUCCACAUGCUACAGACGCAGCCAAAAAAAGAAAAAAGAAAGAAAAUCAAAGUUGGAGGCUCACCCUUCCCAAUUUCAAACAUGAGUACAAAGUACCAGUAAAUAAAACACCAUGAUACCAGCAUAAAGAUACACAUGGUGAUGAAUGGAAGUGAAUGGCAGUCCUACAAAUAAACCCAUCCAUCUAUGAAGAACUGGUUUUAGAUGACACUCAACAGCAUCCAACUGUGGGGAAAUGGUGUCUUCAACAAAUGGUGCCAGGCAAUUAGCUAUCCACAAGCAGAGGAAUUAAAUUGGACCCUAACCCUCUACAUAUAAAAAAGUACCUCACUACAUAUAAAAAAGUACCUCAAAAUACAUAAAAGGCUAAAA